CGGUGCUCUGUCGCUGCAGUUCAGCUGGAAAAGGCAGAAAGAGGGGAUACGGGAGCACAGCUCUGCCCUCGGCGCGCCCUGCCCUCGGCUCCCUGACCGCUGCUCUGCAGCCAGCACAGCCCUCGCCAGCGCCCCGCAUGCGGGUCCUGCCUGAGGGGCUGCACAGGCACGGCACAGAAUGAAGCCUCCCUCACGUACUUCCUGCUGCCACCUGGACCACUGCCAGCUCUCCUGAUGUCAACUGGCAAAGGACAAAAGCAGCCCUGCCAUAAAGACCUUUGCUGAGAAGUGCCCUGCAGCCUCCUCCCUUUCUUCAGAGUGCCAGCAAAGAUACCCUCUGCAAGCAGAGCUCUCCAAACUGGACCCAUUAGAGGAAUUCAGUCAUUUAGUUACAUUCUAUUGUUGGGCAUAAGAUAAGAAAACCAAAAUAAACUGUCUUUAAGCCAUUCUUCAAACCAACACCUCUGGUUGCAAUGCUGGGCAGAAUUUUUAUGUUUGGAGAUUAAUAUACUGAUGGAUGGUUGACCUAAUUUUCUUAAACUGCCCCUUCCUGAAAAAAAAGCUCUUGGGGGCACUGUUACACUACAAAAAGAAGGGAAAAAAGCUGAGACGAAUGAGACGCUUCUGUUGUCAGAAUUUAAUUUCCCCCAAUGAUACACAGUGAUACUAUGAAGAAUGGCACAUAAGUGACGUAACUACUGUUGGUAAAUUUUGGUACUAUGAAAACUCAUCAGUGUCAAAAUUAAUCUCUACAUUCAAGGUAAUUUAUAACUGGAGCUGAGAAGAAGUGUUACAAUAUCUUAGGGAACUUACAAAAGGAUUUCCAGAAGUAACAGUUCAUUAAUGCUAUAGGUAGGAGGUGGGAAAAAGUCCAUAUUACUGGUAAGAACUCACAUGGUAGAAAACAGAGAAAGCUAUUGAAUUAGGUAUGGAAAAAAAAAACAGGAAAACAUUUUAAUUCCUAGAGAAUCUGUGUCUGAAAGAAGAAAUUCUAAAAAUAAUUAAGAACACACUAUUUUUUCUAAUAAUUCUUACUCAAGCAACUUACCUACGGUCCAAUGGUUGAAAAAAAACCACAACAAAAUACCAAACCCUCUAAUCCUUACUAAAAUACACUGGCAGGAACAUACACACAAAAAGAAAAAAAAAUAUUCAGGUUUUCAGUGUUCAUAUCCAAAAAAACAGACUACUUUCAAAGAUUAAGAUUAUAUCAAAUGAGAUUUUAAAAUCAUCAUACAGUAAACCUAGUUUAAAGCUAAAUCAUCCAAGUAACAGUUAAGGAACAUCUUUUAUAAGUCUAAGUUACUUGAUGCUUUUUGACCUGUGGUCUUUUUUAGAACUACUGAGUCUUACAUGUAUUGGAUCAGGUGGGUGUUUAUGCUUAUUUUCAGCUCUGUUGAUUGAGGAGGCUGUCUCUCCUUGCUUUAACCUACUUUCCCUGCUAAAGUCAUUUUACCUCAUAAGCCCCAUGGAGAUUUGAGAGGCAAAGCCAGUUUAUUCCCACAGUGGUCCCACUUUGUACAGAAAUAUUGCCAAAGGCUCAUUUGGAAACCCUUCUCAUAGGAAAUAGGAACAUUUGGUACUCUGCAAAAACUGUAAGGACUCAACUCAAAAUAGAAAGGUACAGUUAGCAACCAUAAGAGAAGUGUACUGCUUUCCUUCAAAUAUAACAUCUGAGGAGAAGGCUCCAUAAAAACAAACCAAAUAACUAUUAAUAUUCAUCAGGUAUUCAAGCAUGGGGUGACUCCAAGCAUUAACUAUUGGUUAAUUGAUAGUUAUUAUUUAUAAUAUAUUACAAUAUAUUCUAUUUCUGAUGUGGAGUUUACCACACAUUCUGUAGCAGAGUUAAAGAAAAAUACUAUUUUUGUGUGUACUUUUCAUGUUGCAUUUUAUGUCUUAAAAUGUAGAAGUCUUUUCUACAUUUUCAUAAUGAAAAAGGAUGGAACAGUUGCAAUUACAUAUUUGGGAAAAAAAAAACCCUUAUUUUAAAAAAAAAUUUGGACAAAAUUGAAAUAUGUGUUGCUAUGCUGGAAUACCUCCUGUGCAGCAGGACAGAGAGGUGACAGUUGGAGGGUGCCACCUAUAUCCAGACAGGGUUUUUAUGAGCACUCUUCACAAUCACUUUGUACCUUCACAAGGGAACAGCAUCAUUAUUUUAUUUGAUCCCCCCAGCAAAGAUAAAAUAUCUCAUCCAGAAGGACUUCUGGGAAGAAGAGCAUUUUUUGAUAGUGUUCAACUGCACUCAUGGUGUCCCCAGAAGUUUUGUGAAGUAAAUACUUCACCAGAAUUAGGACAACAAAGACGUAUAACCAUUCCAGCCACGGGGUGGCUGAAUUUCCUACCCUGAGUAGCUGUGAGGAAUUGUGCAUGGCCAUGGUGGUGCAGGGAGGAAAUUAUCCUUGGCAUUAGAAUUUACCCUUAAAAUAAAAAAAUAAGUAAUUUCUCUCUUGAGUGCAGUGGGGUCUUCAGAUCACCCAUGUCAUCAUACAGUCUGUUUUUAUUUAGACCAUACAGCAAAUCUGUUCUGGUGUUUCUAUUAAUAGUUUGUUUCUUUCUUUAUUUAUAUAUUACUUACAGGAGUUCUUCAUCAAAACAAUAGUGCAAUUAAUUUGGCAUUACUCCAUUACCUGUGCCUCGAUGUUUGCAGAUCUUCUGUUCUGCAGACCAUAAUGAUAACAAAAUCAUCAAACAACAGUAAAGUAAUCUUGCUCCUCAAGUUGCAGUAUCCCAGCCCUUUGGAGAAAUACAGCCAUAUGCCACAGGAAAAACAGUGCCCAUUUUUAGCACAAGCAACACCAAGAUACAAAUCACAUCACACGCAGUCAGAGUUAAUUAAGUCAGACACCUACUGUUUGCCUAUAGUUUGCAGUAGCUAUUAAUUUGAAGGUCUGCUGUAGUGCUAGGAAGAGAUAAUUAAUUAAUGCAGCAUUUUGUGACAUGAUGAACACAUUCCUAAAGGGGCUUGUUGUGGUGACUUUUUCUGGAUAGCACUGCUGCCAGUAAAAUUUUAGACAAUAUACCACAGCGUUUAAAGGGGAAAAAAUGCUAACAGGUCCGUCUUAGACAAAGUAAAAAAGGUCAGGGGCUCUUACCAUUGAUUAUACAGCGUGCAAAACCACACAACUGGUAAAACUAUCAAAGGAGCAUCAACACUUUGGCAUUUGUUUUUGUUAUUUUGAACAAGAAAUUUUGGCAAUUGCUGUGAUUUUUUUUUUUUUUAAUUUAUAGUAUGUACUUUUUUAAACAUCACAGAAAUUCUGUAUUUUGUUUAAAAUCAUAUUGCAUUAUAUACAUGGUGUCACUGUCACUCCAAAGUAAUUGCUUUUAUCUGUUUAAUGCAUCUGUCUUAUUGACUGCCGUAUCUUCUUUUCUUGAUUGAAGUGCUAACUCUUCCAUUACACACCACUAGAAGACUCUUUGACCUAGGAAAAAGAGACAUUCUUCUGAGUAGGCUAAGGAACAGUUCCUAUGAUACAAAAUAGGAUUGAAAAGAUUAAAAGGAGAGUCAGGAGACAUUGUGCAGGCUCUGCCAGUAUUUAGACCAGCUCCAUUAACAAAUCAGGUAAGAUCCUUGGAUCACUUCACCUUGAACAGAAAUGUUGAUCUCACAUAGUGAAGAGCUGCCCUUUGAUAGAACUAAAAUGCAUCACUUCCAAGAAGAUAAUAGUGGCAUCAGGUUUUGUACAAUACCCAACAGUUACUGCAACACUCAAGUUUAUAACUUGUUACUUUUCUUGUUAGUAUACUCCCUCACCUUUAUUGUUUCAAAUAUGUUAUUGUUCUGUAUAUAGUAAAGCUCCUUGUGAAAUAUUUCAGGGGGUCUUCCCAGGGUUGUUAUUCUGUUUCAAUGCUGAAAAAAAUGUUUUCAACCAACAUUCUGCAUUUUUUAAUCUGCUGUAAUUAAUUCACAUAGCUGGAUAUGCUGCAAGAUCCAGGAACUCCAAAGGGUGCUCAAUGUCCUGCCAACAUCUAGAUGUUCUGUCAUGACAUCAGGACCAUAAGAAUAAUCAAGAAACUGAACAAAUUCAGAAGAAUUAAUGAAUACACUGGUUUUGUAACUAAAAUAAGGCAACUUAUAAAUAGUCAGGUCCUUUCCAUGCAUUAUGACAUACCAUCUACCCACCAUGUGUUUGUGCUUUAAUCUCACCUGAGAUUCAUUGGGAGCAGCCAACAGCUCUGGUCAGACAGCACCUUUCCCUCAGCACUGUUAAAGAGAUAAAAGGUGAGAACAACAUCCAAAUGUCAGCUCAGCAGUGGGAAGCAGCUAUGCUAACUUGUCCUUUAGUUCAAGGCAUGAGUGGCUGCAUCUGCUCAAUGACAUCAUCACAAAAAUGCAGGAGGAACAUGACAGAAGGAACAGGACACUGUAUUUUUUUUCUUUCACCUUCUGUGCAGGAUAAACUACAGGAAGAACACAUUUUUCAUUUCUAGCUUGGAAAAGCAAAGCUGUAGAAUGGCCUAGCCAUUUAGCCACAUUUUUAGAAGCUUGUAACAGUUAAUUCAUUGGUCCUUGAUACAAGACAAAAUUUAGGUACAAUUUCCAGUAUGGAUAGAAUAUUCCUGUUUCUGAUAUCUUUAUCUGUUUCCUUUCUAUUUCAAGAGUAAAGUUUGAAUAAAAUUAUAUUUUAAGAUUUCAGUAGAGAAGGAUUACAUCACACAAGUUGUGCAGGCUUAGCAAAGAAUGUGGAAACAAUUCCCAAACCACUAACCCAUGCAUUACAUGAUACAAUCACCAGCUUAGUGCAGGAAGGCAAAGAAAAAGUGCAUUUAUUAGCCUGUCCUCUGGUUUCUGGGCACAAACACACCUUCUAGCACUCAUCAUCAUGAUCCCACCACAGAGCUCUACUGUCCUAGCUCUGCAGAACAGCAGAGAUUUUUUUUUUUUCAAGGUCAGGAGAUAUAAAACUACUUCAUAGAGGGUAAAAAAAAAAAAAUCAGUACAAAGGAGCAAAAACAAAAAUGAAAGGGAUUUAGUUGCUAGAAAAGGAUUUCAGUUGCUAAAUAAGCUAGAGUUGCCAAAUGAUGACACAGCUCAAUUCACGGUAUAACCCUGAAAUUUUAGGCAGAUAUUCUAACUUCAGAGGGCUGGCUGUAGAGUGACACCUUGGUUUGAUGAACUCUUGGAACUUUGGAAAAGAACCAGCACUCUUCUGCAGCAUAUAAGGACAAAGUGAAACUACGGCCAUGAAAACACCAGUUCACAGACCAGAGUGACCUGUACCUGCAGCAUUACUUCUGGCUCACUCCAUACCACUACGUAGGAAUGGCUUCAAACAAACAAACAAAAACCCAUUAAUAACAGUAGCAAGCAAAAACUCAUUGUAAAAACAAUUACUCUUUUUUGCCAAUCUGCAUUCACAGUGCCUUCCUUUUUCUGAAUAAUUGCUUAGUCUGUAUACUAAUUUAAGGUUAGAAGAUGCCUGAAGGGACAAGAAUUGUUUUCAGUCCCAGAAGUGGCUGGAGAAGAGCAUUGCCACAAAAGUGAAAGAAGGGAGAUUUUAGCACACAGACUAGGAAGUGCUUUAAACAGUAGCUGGGUGGAUUUUUUUACUACUAUGAGAAGCAACUGGAAGACAGUCAUUAAAAAUAAUAGCAAACAUAUGCGAUGUGUUCUCACAGAGGAAAUUGUGUGGAAGUUCCACAUAUGAUCAUCCCUGCCACUGGAAUAGCUUCACUUUGACGAGGUUUCAAAACAAACUAGGAGUCUGCUGGUGUCUCCUUGGGAAAAACAAAUUUUGUGAUGGAAUGUGAUGAGUGUCACCCAUUUGAGGAACAAAAAAGAGAUAUUUCUCAGUAUUGUAAACCCAUAAUAUUCCAGCAUUUACUAAAAUGUAACGGUGAGGGGACUGCACAGCACGGAUAUUAUAUUCCUCUGAAACAAUGGUAUUUACGUGAUGCAAGAGCUUUCUUCUUUCUCUGUCUCCCCCACAUGUUGCUUCUUAACACAAGGCAUCAGAGAUAACUCCUGACACACAAAAGGUAGCAGUAGGGAUUACACAUCCAUGACCCACUCUGCUACUGAACAAGUUCAGCUGUGUUGUCUCCAGCCUCCUUUGCUGGCUCAGCUCACUUAUCUGACCUUAAACCACAGAGGAUGCAAUUGCACAUCUCAGCUGAUGUGUGGAGUAAUAUCCCACAGCUGGCACAUUCCAACAACUAUCUGGAAAUAAAUUUUGAGCCCUGGACAACAUUUUAAUUCUACAGCAUGCUAAAGGUCACACUGAUUAACUUGGAUGGGAAUUAGCUGUGUAUAAAUUCCUUACUCCUAAUAAAGCAGGCAGGGAAACCAGUCUCCAAUCCAUCAUUCUGAGUUUAAUUAAUAAAGCAAUACUAACUGCAAAGACAGCUACCAGAAUAAAGUAUUGGAGCAGCUAUCACUGCUUUUCCAGGAGUAUUAGGCACUUUCAGUGAGCUUCUACAGCAAGCCUUUAUUGCUCACUUGUGGAAGACUGGGAGUUGAUGGAGCUACAGCUGCUUAUGCCCGGAGAAACGCCAGCCCAGGGAGUGCAGCGUGUGGAUGAUUUUUAACUCAUAUAAUUUCAAGCACAAUGACAAAAACUGCCAUGGGAAAACAACAUGACUAAAACUACGUUUCCUGUGGCUUACUAAUGGACUAUUCAUGCACAACAUUAAGCUGAUGAAUGUGAAUUUGUUGGAUGCAUUACCCUUUCUCCCUUUGUGCAGGUUUCAAAGAUUAUAAUUACGCUUGGUUUAAUUACUAUUAGUCUCAGUUGAAUUUUCAGUUCUUUCAGCAUUUUCCAUGUGUAAAAAUUUAUAUUUAAAAUUUGCCUUAUCUGAAGGCAAACUUCUCAUGUUGGUUCAAUUUUGUAUGAAUUGGGCGUUACUGUAUUUCAAAGUCUGAUCAUCAUGCUUACUUAAGGAGAAGUAUUCUUUGUUGAUAAUUGCUGUUCUAAAUACACAUAAAGCCACUCAACAUGGGUUAA